CAAAUCCCGUCGCGCCAUCUUCUCCAAUCGGCUGGCUCGCUCGUCCUCCCAAUCCUCUCUCUCACCCCACUCUCGUCCUCUUCUCCUCCUUUGGCUCUUCUCCCUCUUCCUCCAGGCUCCCACCCUCCAAUCUUUGUGUUGUCCUCACUUCCCCAAUCCCCAUCCCCAACGUGGAGCUCAUGGCCCAUGGUGCCCCACCUCCUCUAUCCCUUUACUCUUUCUCAUGCCCUAGAUCGUCCUUGUACACAACAAGAAGGGCUUCUGGUCUAGGUGUUGGAGGAAUAAGUGGUGGCAAGAAGAGGAGCAAGAGGAGGAGAAGGAAGAAUGAAGAAUGGAAGAUCCCCACCUUCUCUGUCCGAUUUCUCUUGAUCUAGCUCAAAGGGUGGACCAGUUUGUACGUUAACAAGGUUAAGGGGCUACAUAUCCAUUGGAGCGGAUAGAGUGUGGCUGCAGUCUUCCUUUGCGCGCAGAUUGAGUAUCUCCUCCAAUUUAUUUAAACAGUUCUCAGUGAGGUGAUGUUGAUUUCGUCACUUUCAUAUGGCCCCACCUCUGUAGUGGAAAGGCCGAGAAGAUUGAGUGGUGUGGUUUGCUUAUUUGAGAAUUUUAGUGACGGCUUUGCUUGAGAAGCUCAUGGUUUCAAGCCUGACAGAGGCUAUUGCAUCCAAGGUUACCAGAUCACAGAACCUGCAGGCAGUGAGAUGAUGCUGGCAGGAGGACUGCAAUUUCCAAAGGUAAUAUUGCUACAGGUGCGGUAUGCGGCGCAGGGACUGGGUUCAAUGGCUUCUUCUUCUGCCAGCAUGACUGUGCCAUCUUCUCCAUCUCUCCAUGACGCAGCCACAUGUUCAUCUGAUGGACACCAGCGGGUCGCCACACGUGGAGGAAACGGAAAGGUGUUUCAACUCUUGCAUUUUGCAAGGUGGGUCAAAGAGAACAAUAAUAGGCCCCGACUGCCAUGAGACUUUACUUGUAUUCCGGAUAUUGGUAUGACCCAAUCCAAAACUGAUGUGAAGCUUUAAUUUCGGUGAUGAUUUACAACAACCUGGAAGCGGGUCUAUUGUUAUAUGAAGGAGAAGGCACAUAGCACAUACUGAUUUAUUUCUACAGGCAAUCAUCAUUGCGUUUUGUUCCAAUGGUGCUAUUUGGAAGAAUUUCUUUGUUUGAACAUUCUUUUACCUUCUUCGUAAUAUUUCCAAGUGCUUUGUUUUCUCUGUGUUCAAAUUGAAAGUACAUUUUAUGGUUUCUACGAAAUUAGCCUUUUCCAUGUUGUGAUUUCAAGCAUGAUGACGAGUCUUGCUUUCAUGGCAAAACAAAACUAUCUGGUACUCAGUUUGUUCUUCUGAGUAUAGACUUUGCAUUGUUGUUUCUCGAGCUAGAUUUCUCAUAAAUCUUUAAGCAUUAUGUUGUCUUAUUACAGAGAAGUAUUUUCUAUAAGUGGAAACUUGGAUGCCUCUCAGUUUAGCUCAGAAUCUGUGAUGUUUGCUUUGCUCUAAAUUUAUGGUUUUCGCCUAUCACCUUGUGUUUCUAAACUUAUGAUGCAGGUGGUUGACGCUUCGACCUCAAAGACUGGUAAGCAUGGUCAUGCUAUGUGCCACUUUGUUGCCGUAAAUAUAUUUCUUCAAUGGUAAAAACUUGAGGAUAUUGUUACUUCAUCCCAUAGCUUGAUGUACGUUUUGAUAUAUAAUUGUUCAGUUAAGAAUCUGGUUCGUUCAGAAUUAACUCAUAUAAGAUAUCUGCCUAUUCUGAUGGCUAAUGAGUUUUGCAUUGCAUUGUGAGAUAUUUAGUUCAUAGAUUACCCGUUUAGGCGGUUCCAUAUCACUACUUGCUUGAAUUGAUAUAUUACAUAUGCAUAUUUCUUAUAUAAUGGAAACAGUGGGUUUAACUAUUGGUCUGCUACCUUAUGCUAAAUACUUGAUUUGUUGUUCUCUCGCUACAUGGAAAUGCUAGAAAAUCUAAGAUCUGUAAUCAUAUGCUUCCUCUUUGGAAAGAUGCUUGCAUCAUUUGUAUUCUCCCUAGCUGUAGGUAUUUGAAUUUCAACUCUGAAAAUUAUCUUUUUUAGAUUUUUAGACUGAACAUUAUCGCUAUUAAACUAGAGUAGUUUUCAGAUGCUACAUAUAUAUGGCAUGUCCUGAUGCCAUAUGCUACAAAGAACUUAAUUUAUUGAUGAACGGGUUUUAUGGAUAUUUUCCGCUGAUUGGUCUUCUCCAUUUUUUUUCUUGAAGGUGGAUUUGGACCUUGGAAACUAAACGAUGAAACAAUUUAGCCAAUGUUGCAAACUCAGAUUUCUAAAUAUCAUGUAGAGGGCGUUGUUGUGCCUGUGGGUUGCUCUCGGUGGUGAUGCCUGCUGUUCGAAACAAAAACAAAAACAAGUUUUGCUCUCAAUCCCCUGCCAUCCCCUCCCCGUCUCAUUUUCCUCAUGUCAAGAUUGAUUCAUUUUCUUGCAUAUUCAAACUUUGUACCUGAAUAUUUCCGGGUUGUGAAGAAACUGUUUGAUAUUCAGUGAUAUGCCCUUUCCCAAAAACCUUAAUUGUGCAUUCUAGAAAGUAACCUUAAUUGGUGUCCCUCCACACAGUUGUAUAAACGAAGCGGUAUGAUUGGAUGGUAUUUGAUGCUGAAUGCUACUCCAAAGAAAGGCAUCUCAUAUGUUUGGAGGAGUAUUCUCAAAGGCAUGAAUUGAAUUUGUUGAAAAUAGGAUUCAUCUGCCGAGUGGGCAAUGGUGAAAACAUAAGCAAUCACUGAAAAUCAAGGUAUGUGAAUCCUUUGGCCAGAAGAUGGGAUGUGGAGCUUUUCUGACAACACUUUGGCCUGAAGAUGCUGAUAUUAUUCUCAAGAUUCAUGUCCAAGAAGACACAGAGGAAAAGAAGUCUUGCUUUUACUGGAAAAGGCUAUGAUGCACUCUCUCUUUCCCAAUAAGGUGUUCAGCCUACCCCUAAGAAUGAAGCUCUUUAGGAAAGAAGACUUCUUUUUGCCUUGGAACAUGUCACACUUAGUUUAAUAUCCUGCUCUGACUCAAAAAAGUUGUCAUAGGAAAUUUUUAUACUGAAAUUGGAGUGUCUAACGUUUUGCCCUAUCUUAUGAUUGUUUCUGGUGGCAAUAGAAAUAAGGUAAAACAAAUGGUGAAUUUAUAAGAUUGGUAUAUGAAUUAUCCUAUUCUACUGUCA